GGAAGCAACUAGGGAACCUACAAGAGGUGCUAUGCACCAAGUAUCCACAUCCCUAGCUACAGAGGCCAAAAUAGAUACUAUACUACGUAGGUUAGAGGCCUUAGAACUCAAAGGACACACCCAAGUGAACCAAAUUUCAACAUCUACUUGCAAUGGAUGUAAUGCCAUAGACCACAUCAUAGAAGAAUGUCUCUUUUUGAUGAACCCAAC
rnacentral:lncRNA from 1 species